rnacentral:rRNA from 1 species
GAUGAACGCUGGCGGCGUGCCUAAUACAUGCAAGUCGAGCGAAUGGAUUAAGAGCUUGCUCUUAUGAAGUUAGCGGCGGACGGGUGAGUAACACGUGGGUAACCUGCCCAUAAGACUGGGAUAACUCCGGGAAACCGGGGCUAAUACCGGAUAACAUUUUGAACCGCAUGGUUCGAAAUUGGAAGGCGGCUUCGGCUGUCACUUAUGGAUGGACCCGCGUCGCAUUAGCUAGUUGGUGAGGUAACGGCUCACCAAGGCAACGAUGCGUAGCCGACCAAAGAGGGUGCUCGGCCACACGGGGACUGAGACACGGCCCAGACUCCUACGGGAGGCAGCAGUAGGGAAUCUUCCGCAAUGGACGAAAGUCUGACGGAGCAACGCCGCGUGAGUGAUGAAGGCUUUCGGGUCGUAAAACUCUGUUGUUAGGGAAGAACAAGUGCUAGUUGAAUAAGCUGGCACCUUGACGGUACCUAACCAGAAAGCCACGGCUAACUACGUGCCAGCCGCCGCAGUAA